rnacentral:rRNA from 1 species
UACGGAGGGUGCAAGCGUUAAUCGGAAUUACUGGGCGUAAAGCGUGCGUAGACGGUUAUUUAAGUCGGGUGUGAAAGCCCCGGGCUCAACCUGGGAAUUGCAUUCGAGACUGAAUAGCUAGGGUACGGUAGAGGGAAGCGGAAUUUCCGGUGUAGCGGUGAAAUGCGUAGAUAUCGGAAGGAACAUCAGUGGCGAAAGCGGCUUCCUGGACCAGUACCGACGUUCAGGCACGAAAGCGUGGGGAGCAAACAGG